ACUCAAAGGAAUAGACGGGGGCCCGCACAAGCGGAGGAACAUGUGGUUUAAUUCGAUGAUACGCGCGGAACCUUACCCGGGCUCGAACGGUCGAUGAAUGGGUAUGAAAGUAUUCAGUCGCAAGACAUCGGUCGAGGUGCUGCAUGGUUGUCGUCAGCUCGUGCCGUGAGGUGUCGGCUUAAGUGCCAUAACGAGCGCAACCCUUACCGCCAGUUACCAGCAUUAAUGAUGGGGACUCUGUCGGGACUGCCACCGCAAGGUGCGAGGAAGGUGGGGAUGACGUCAAAUCAGCACGGCCCUUACGUCCGGGGCGACACACGUGUUACAAUGGGGGGGACAAAGGGCCGCUACCCUGCGAGGGGAUGCCAAUCUCCAAACCCUCUCCCAGUUCGGACUGGAGUCUGCAACCCGACUCCAUGAAGCCGGAUUCGCUAGUAAUCGCGCAUCAGCCAUGGCGCGGUGAAUACGUUCCCGGGCCUUGUACACACCGCCCGU
rnacentral:rRNA from 1 species